rnacentral:tRNA from 1 species
GGAUAUAGCUAAAUGGUAGAGUGUGUGCUUAGCAUACACAAUGUCCUGAGUUCAAUCCCCAGUACAUCCA